UUUCCGUAGGUGAACCUGCGGAAGGAUCAUUAUUGAAUAAACCUGAUGUGACUGUUAGCUGGCUUUUCGAAGCAUGUGCUCGUCCGUCAUCUUUAAUCUCUCCACCUGUGCACAUUUUGUAGUCUUGGAUACCUCUCGAGGCAACUCGGAUUUUAGGAUCGCCGUGCUGCACAAGUCGGCUUUCCUUUCAUUUCCAAGACUAUGUUUUUAUAUACACCAAAGUAUGUUUAAAGAAUGUCAUCAAUAGGAACUUGUUUCCUAUAAAAUUAUACAACUUUCAGCAACGGAUCUCUUGGCUCUC
rnacentral:misc_RNA from 1 species